rnacentral:rRNA from 1 species
ACUCUCGACAAUGGAUAUCUCGGCUCUCGCAUCGAUGAAGAACGUAGCGAAAUGUGAUACUUCGUGUGAAUUGCAGAAUGCCGUGAACCAUAGAGUCUUUGAAUGCAAGUUGCGCCCGAAGCCAUUAGGCCGAGGGCACGGCUGCCUGGGCGUCACGCAUCGCAUCGCCCCCCUCGCAUCGCGCCUCAAUCACGGGGCGCACUACCGUCGCGGGGCGGAUAAUAGCCUCCCGUGCGACUCAAGCUUGCGGCUGGCCUAAAUGCGAGUCCACGUCGACGGAUGUCAUGGCAAGUGGUGGUUGCAACUCAACUCUCUAUGCCAUUGUGGCUACGGCCCGUCGCUCGUCCGGACUACAGGACCGCUUCGCGCUUAGGCACUCCGACCGCGACCCCAGGUCAGGCGGGAUUACCCGUUGAGUUUACCGUUGUGCCCGGACCCUGUCGCACCACGAGGCACUGUCUACGAGUCGGGUUGUUUGGGAAUGCAGCCCAAAUUGAGCGGUGAAUUCCGUCCAAGGCUAAAUACGGGCGAGAGACCGAUAGCGAACAAGUACCGCGAGGGAAAGAUGAAAAGGACUUUAAAAAGAGAGUCAAAGAGUGCUUGAAAUUGUCGGGAGGGAAGCGGAUGGGGUCGGCGAUGCGCCCCGGUCGGAUGUGGAACGGCGACGAGCCGGUCCGCCGAUCGAUUUGGGGCGUGGACCAGCAUGGAUUGGGGGGGCGGCUAAAGCCCAGGCUCUCGAUACGCUCGUGAAACGCCGUCUCCUCGAUUGUGGCAGGCGGCACAUACCUCCGGAGUGCUUCGGCAUCUGCCCGCUCCGAACGCUGGCCUGUGGGCUCCUCAUUCGACCCGUUUUGAAACACGGACCAAGGAGUCUGACAUAUGUGCGAGUCAACGGGUGAGUAAACCCGUAAGGCACAAGGAAGCUGAUUGGUCGGAUCCCCCCGAGGGGUGCACCGCCGACCAACCUUGAUCAUCUGAGAAGGGUUCGAGUGUGAGCAUACCUGUUGGGACCUGAAAGAUGGUGAACCAUGCCUGAGCGGGGCGAAUCCAAGGAAACUCUGGUGGAGGCCCGCAGCGAUACUGACGUGCAAAUAGUUCGUCUGACUUGGGUAUAGGGGCGAAAGACUUAUCGAACCGUCUAGUAGCUUGUUCCCUCCGAAGUUUCCCUCACUAUAGCUGGAGCUCGCGUGCGAGUUCUAUCGGGAAAAGCCAAUGAUUAGAGGCCUCGGGGGCGCAACGCACUCAACCUAUUCUCAAACUUUAAAUAGGUAGGACGACGCGGCUGCUUGGUUGAGCCGCGCCACAGAACCAAGAGCUCCAAGUGAGCUAUUUUUGGUAAGCAGAACUGGCGAUGCGAGAUGAACCAGAAGCCGGGUUACGGUGCCAAACUGCGCACUAACUUAGAUCCCACAAUGGGUGUUGGUCGAUUAAGACAACAGGACGAUGGUCAUGGAAGUUGAAAUCCGCUAAGGAGUGUGUAACAACUCAACUGCUGAAUCAACUAACCCCGAAAAUGGAUGGCGCUUAAGUGCGCGACCUAUACCCGGCCGUCAGGGCAAGUGCCAGGCCCCGAUGAGUAGGAGGGCGCGGCGGUCGCUGCGAAACCUUGGGCGCGAGCCUGGGUGGAGCGGCCGUCGGUGUAGAUCUUGGUGGUAGUAGCAAAUAUUCAAAUGAGAACUUUGAAGCACCAAUGCACUGUGGCACCGUGGCACACAGGCACCGUGGAACCAUGGUCACCAAGGAACCGUGGCGCCAUGGCACCAUGGCACCAAAGCACCAAGGCACCAAGGCACAAAGGCGGUGUGGCGCCAUGGCACCGUGGCACACAAGCACCGUGGCUCCAUGGCACAAAGGCAUCUUGGCACUGGGGCACCGCGGCACCAAGGAACCGCGGUACCAAGGCAUCAAGGCACCGCGGCAGCAAGGCACUGUGGCACCAACCAUGGUGCCGUGGCACCACGGCACCAUGGCACUAGGGCAUCGUGGUACCAUGGCACUAUGGCACUAACGCACCAAGGCACUGCCAUGGUGCCAUGGCACAGUUGCACCGUGGCACCAUGGCACCAAGGAACCGUGGCACCGUGGAACCAUGGCACCAACGCUCCGUGGCACCGUGGCACCAACGCACCGUGGCACCAUGGCACCAAGGCAGCGUGGCGCCAUGGUACCAAGGCACCAUGGCGCCGUGGUACCAUGGCACCAACGCACCGUGGUACCAAGGCACCAAGGCACCAUGGCGCCGUGGCACCAAGGCACCGUGGCACCAAGGCACCAUAGCACCGUGGCCCCGUGGUAGAAUAGCACCAAGGCACCAAGGCACCGUGGCACAAUGGCGCUGUGGCACCAAGGCGCCGUGGCACCAAGGCACCACGGCACUAUGGCGCCGUAACACCAAGGCACCAUGCCAGCACGGUGCCAUGACACCAAGGAAGCAUGGCGCCACGGUGGCACCAAGGCACCGUGGCACCGUGGCACCAAGGUACCGUGGCACCGUGGAACCAUGGCACCAAGGCACCGUGGCACCGUGGCACCAUGGCACCAACGCACCGUGGUACCAAGGCACCAAGGCACCAUGGCGCCAUGGCACCAAGGCACCUUGGCGCCAUGGCACCGUGGCACCAUGGCACCGUGGCACUGUGGCACACAGGCACUGUGGCACCAUGGUCACCAAGGCACCGUGGCACAAAGGCAGCCUGGCAACGUGGCUCCAAGGCACCGUAGCGCCAUGGCACAAUGGCUCCAAGGCACUAAUGCACCAAGGCACCUUGGCGACAUGGCACCAAGGCGGCGCGGCGCCAUGGCACUGGGCAUCGUGGCACCAUGGCACCAUGGCACUAACGUACCAAGGCACUGCCAUGGUGCCAUGGCACUGGGGCAUCGUUGCACCAUGGCACCAUGGCACUAACGCACCAAGGCACUGCCAUGGCGCCAAGGCACCGUGGCACCGUUGCACCAUGUCACCAAGGCACCGUGGCACCGUGGUUCCAUGACACCAACGCAGCGUGGCACCAUGGCACCGUUGC